UACGUAGGGGGCUAGCGUUGUCCGGAAUCAUUGGGCGUAAAGCGCGUGUAGGCGGCCCGAUAAGUCCGCUGUGAAAGUCCAGGGCUCAACCCUGGGAUGCCGGUGGAUACUGUCGGGCUCGAGUCCGGAAGAGGCGAGUGGAAUUCCUGGUGUAGCGGUGAAAUGCGCAGAUAUCAGGAGGAACACCAAUGGCGAAGGCAGCUCGCUGGGACGGGACUGACGCUGAGACGCGAAAGCGUGGGGAGCAAACAGG
rnacentral:rRNA from 1 species